rnacentral:rRNA from 1 species
AUUGAACGCUGGCGGCAUGCCUUACACAUGCAAGUCGAACGGCAGCACGGGUGCUUGCACCUGGUGGCGAGUGGCGAACGGGUGAGUAAUACAUCGGAACAUGUCCUGUAGUGGGGGAUAGCCCGGCGAAAGCCGGAUUAAUACCGCAUACGAUCUACGGAUGAAAGCGGGGGACCUUCGGGCCUCGCGCUAUAGGGUUGGCCGAUGGCUGAUUAGCUAGUUGGUGGGGUAAAGGCCUACCAAGGCGACGAUCAGUAGCUGGUCUGAGAGGACGACCAGCCACACUGGGACUGAGACACGGCCGAGACUCCUACGGGAGGCAGCAGUGGGGAAUUUUGGACAAUGGGCGAAAGCCUGAUCCAGCAAUGCCGCGUGUGUGAAGAAGGCCUUCGGGUUGUAAAGCACUUUUGUCCGGAAAGAAAUCCUUGGCCCUAAUACGGUCGGGGGAUGACGGUACCGGAAGAAUAAGCACCGGCUAACUACGUG